rnacentral:rRNA from 1 species
CAGUCGCCGCGGUAAUGCGUAGGGUGCGAGCGUUAAUCGGAAUUACUGGGCGUAAAGCGUGCGCAGGCGGUUUUGUAAGACAGGCGUGAAAUCCCCGGACUCAACCUGGGAAUGGUGCUUGUGACUGCAAAGCUAGAGUGCGGCAGAGGGGGAUGGAAUUCCGCGUGUAGCAGUGAAAUGCGUAGAUAUGCGGAGGAACACCGAUGGCGAAGGCAAUCCCCUGGGCCUGCACUGACGCUCAUGCACGAAAGCGUGGGGAGCAAACAGGAUUAGAGACCCGCGUAGUCCCUGUCUCUUAUAC